GCCAGUGUGGUGCAGUGGUUUGAGUGUUACUACAAGUCUGGAGACCAGGGUUCAAUUCCCAGCUCUGCCA